rnacentral:lncRNA from 1 species
UGGAACUGCUAUUUGUAUAUUGCAUGAUAUUUUAUCAGGGAAAAAAAUAAAACUGAGAUCCAAUUUCAUGAAAAUGCUGUUGCCAUAAUGCUCAGGAGGACAGGGGGAAGAGAGAGAGUCAAGUCUUCCUAAUGUCUACCUCAUAUGCAGAUCUGGGAACCUCAGGAAAAUAUGCAUGGUUGAUUGGAGGAAGAAACCCCAUGGAGGAGUCAAUGUCAGAAAAAAAAAGUCAGAUGAUAAAGCGAAGAUUUAGGGUAAAAACUGAGAGUGAGUGGCAGUUUAUUUACAAUGGAACAAGUGAGUUAUU